rnacentral:lncRNA from 1 species
GGUAUUUCUGGAAUGCAUUAUUUAAAUAUUCCACAUUUUUUGAGAAUUCAGAUUGCUUCCAAUUUUUCACUUUCAUAAAUAUCAAUAUCUUUAUGCAUUAUAUCUUUUUCUCUCCUUUUGGGUUAUCACUUUUGCAUGGGAUUACUGGGGCAAAAACAUGUUUCUGUUUCUAUGCCUCCUGGUAUGUAUUAACUCCUAACCUUUCAAACUUGCAUUAAAACUUAAAUCUGACAUUUUUCAGCUUUCCUGACUAAGGGGUGCUUCAACAUCAAAGCUCCUUAGGAUUUACUUCCUUUCUAAAGCAACGUCAAAAGGCUUUUGGUUUUAAGGAUCUAUGGGUGAAGAGAUAAUGCAGGAAGCCCGAUAUGCUGACAUGUGUGAGAGGCAUCAUUCACCACAGAAGUAGAAACAGCAUGGAUGGGUGAAAGUUGCAAGAAGAUCUGUUGUUUCUUGGUUCCAACUUUGCUAUCAGCACUGGACCAAGAAUGGAAAACAACUAAUAAACCCUGAAUGUGCAACAAGGACCACAGGAACCAGCCACGGGAGAGUAGACAGUCACCAAGGUCAGGGUCACGUCAGGACAGCCCUGCACGUGUGCGGCCUGAGUGUUCCCACUCUCCGGGUUCACAGUGCAACAGACAGUGCCAGCUCACCACAGCCUUGUUUCCCCCAACUGACCAAGACUGGUCAGAAUGUGUCAGAUUUUGCAUGAAAGACGCAACGUAUUUGCUGUAAAAUUUUAGGAAUUACUAGAAAACAGGGAAGCCCCAAAAGGUAACACAAUCAAGGCAAGGCAAAGGUUGAAGAGAGUACUGAAAAAUCUUUUCAAACUGUUUAGAGAGGAUCCUGGGGGGAGAUGGUAGCAGGUUGGAGUGGCUGUGAGCCCGAGAGGCAGGAAAUAAGCCAGACUGAAACCCAUAUGCCUCUGUCAGAACUUCAAAGACUGAACCAAUGGCAGAGGCUCCACCACCGGUGCAUCUGUAAAGGCCUGGAGUGGGCUCAGGCAGUGAGAAACUGGAAAUGGAGCCUGGGCCCUUAGAGACCAGAGCAUCUCUCAUACAAGGGCUACACAUGUAUGAAGAAGAUGUACAUAGCUGGUCAUUUGUUACCUCACUUUGUUGAUCACAGACAAAAGCCACUUCCCUGACCUUGUCCUAAGGGAUUGUCAUUGUAAAUGUGGGUGAGCCCAGAGAACAGUGGGCUGGAUCCCUGGGUUUGGCUGCUUUCUAUGCUGCCAAGUAGUGGACACCCACCUUUCAGGCCCCCUUUUAUGUGCUGAGAUCACCUCCCUUCUUAGCUGUCUGUCAGUAUACCCCAGCUCUAGGCUGCAAGACUUCAGUGUGGGGACAGAGGUGCUCCCCACAACAAAGUCUGGGACCUCUGGUGCCCCACCUUCAUGUUUUGAAGAUGCUGUUUCACCCAGCGUUCUUUCCAGUAUUCAUCAGUAAUAGUGCAUUUAGCAUGGAGGCAUCCCCGAGUGCCCUUCACUUCCCCUUCUGCCAGGCAGAUUGUGAUGAACAGUGAAGCCUUUCACGGCUACUCACAGAAGUAGUCUUUAAAAAAGAACAAGAACUCAAAAUUGCAACUUGAACUUCCCCACUGAUACCAUAAAAUGGAACUUGGGAGCAGAAUAUAAGGAUGUUUGAGUUCCACUCUUGCUAAUUCACUGGUAAGGGGGCUUGAAAUCCUGGCCGCAUGUUUAGACAAGUCUACUCUGUUAAAUUAUUUCCCAAGUACUUUAUUCUUUUUGAUUCUGUUGCAAAUGAAAUCUUCCCCUCAAUUUCAUUUUUUGGCUCAUUUUAUUGCUAGUGUAUAGAAGCCAUUCAGUUUUGUUCGCUGAAAUUCUCAUUUGUCAUGUAAAUACAGGGCAAACCUCAGAACUCAGGUAUGAGCCCUUUUAUGUUUUCUGCAAGUGUUUCGUUUUGGGUGAAUAUCUUUGGCUCUUUUGUUCACUUGAUAGAUCCUGAGCAUCUAGAACACUGCCUGACACUCAGGUUCUCAAAAAUGUUGAAUGAAUCAGGCCACCAUCUCUCAUGCAUUUCUCCAUGAGAGCACUUAUUUUUAUGUGUUGAAAUCAUGCUCAUAUGUCUGUCCAUCAGAUGGGAAGUGCGCUGAAGCCAGGGAUCAUUCUAGUGUCCUAAGAACCCUGCACGGUACAUGUCACACACCAGGUGCUCAGCACAUGCCUGAAGACUCUAUGGCUAUGUAUCAGGGUGGGGGUGCAGCAUGAAGGGUUGAGCAUAUCACCAAAGGAAAUCUCAAUGUGUGGUGUUCCCUUUCCACAUCCACAUGUGAUUUGGGCCACUCAUAGAACUAACACCAGCAGAUUAAACAGUGUGUAUAUGUGCAUGCCUGUGUAUGAAGGAAAAAGAACAUAAAUUUGAUAUUUAUCAUGGGUCAUAUGGACUGGUUGACUGUAUGUAGAAUACACACUUGCUAUACAGUUUGGAAUGGAUAUUAAAAGCCUUUGAAUUGAAAACUUGUCAAACAUUUCCUCCUGACACUGCUAUCCAGGCAAAGUCAAUGAUGUGGUCUGGAUCUGUGUCCCUGUCAAAAAUCUCAUGUUGAAUUGUAAUACCCAGUGUUGGAGGUG